rnacentral:tRNA from 1 species
CGCUGGGAAGCUAAGUAUUGGAUAAGCGUUGGCCUUUUGAGCCAAAAUAUUGGUGAUUCCCGACCACCCCCAGUGA